GAAUCCAUGGCCCAAUGGAUAAGGUGCUGGUUUAUGAAACCAGAGAUUGUGGGUUCAAUCCCUAGUGUAGUCG
rfam:Ipomoea nil DNA, scaffold: scaffold0268, cultivar: Tokyo-kokei standard.